GAAAGAUUAGUUAAUUAACUAUAACAUAAGCCUGUCAUGCUUAAAUAAUCAAUAUUUUUGAUAUUUUUC
rnacentral:tRNA from 1 species